AGGACGAACGCUGGCGGCGUGCCUAACACAUGCAAGUCGAGCGAUGAAACCCUUCGGGUGGAUUAGCGGCGGACGGGUGAGUAACACGUGGGUAACCUGCCUCAAAGAGGGGAAUAGCCUCCCGAAAGGGAGAUUAAUACCGCAUAAUAUGUUUUGAUCGCAUGAUCUUGACAUCAAAGGAGUAAUCCGCUUUGAGAUGGACCCGCGGCGCAUUAGCUAGUUGGUGAGGUAACGGCUCACCAAGGCGACGAUGCGUAGCCGACCUGAGAGGGUGAUCGGCCACAUUGGAACUGAGACACGGUCCAGACUCCUACGGGAGGCAGCAGUGGGGAAUAUUGCGCAAUGGGGGAAACCCUGACGCAAGCGACGCCGCGUGAAUGAUGAAGGCCUUCGGGUUGUAAAGUUCUGUCUUCUGGGACGAUAAUGACGGUACCAGAGGAGGAAGCCACGGCUAACUACGUGCCAGCCGCAGC
rnacentral:rRNA from 1 species